CCCACUCCCAUAAUAUCCAUUAAUCAGUUCCUGACUAAUUGAGUGGUUUUGUUUUACGAACUGGAUGAAGUCUAUUAAUAUCAAUAUGGUUUUGGUUUCUGUAAUAUCCCAACAGAGAAAUGCAUGUGGCAUGUCUACAGGGUUCAGUGUGAGAACUGAAGAAUAGUGAAGAGUGAAUAAUGUGUGAUGUGCCAAGUCCUUGACAAGAAUGAUCUCAUUUGCUCUUCACAAUCACUCUGGGAGGACCAGGGACAAGUGAAAUGGAUCCAGGCACAGAUGGCUGAGUGACUGGUGAGUUCUCAGCCUGCUGCCCCAUCACCAACAUCCAGCCCCUUUUUAACAAUGAGCUAGAUGGAGCAGAAAAUAAUAUUAGCCUUCAAGAACAGCAUGUCCACAUUCCUGGUCCCAUAAAACUAAUCAAUGGAAAACAAUUUUCCUGAGCUGAGGCUGAGCUCAUUUUAUGACAAUAACUAGUGAAGCUAAGGGGAAGAAGAGUGCCCUUUUAGUUCUUUUCCUUUGGUGAAUAACUUCUCUACAAACACCUGGUGAAUCCACAGCUGUGGGAACCUGGAUAUAAAGAACAUGAGGGAAACAAGGGUGAGAUCCAUUCUUCUUCUGAACCCUCCCUCAACAGGGUUAAGGUAAGUUAAUCCUUAAGUGAUCAUCUUUGAUGGCAUGUUUUAAAACACAUCAUUU
rnacentral:lncRNA from 1 species